rnacentral:snoRNA from 1 species
AUGAUGAUUACACCUUUAGUAUUUAUGGUUAGAUUACUGAAAAACCAUGAAGAUAUCUAGGGCGGACUGAUUUC